rnacentral:rRNA from 1 species
ACGUACACUCCUACGGGAGGCAGCAGUGGGGAAUAUUGGACAAUGGGCGCAAGCCUGAUCCAGCCAUGCCGCGUGAGUGAUGAAGGCCCUAGGGUUGUAAAGCUCUUUCACCGGUGAAGAUAAUGACGGUAACCGGAGAAGAAGCCCCGGCUAACUUCGUGCCAGCAGCCGCGGUAAUACGAAGGGGGCUAGCGUUGUUCGGAUUUACUGGGCGUAAAGCGCACGUAGGCGGACUAUUAAGUCAGGGGUGAAAUCCCGGGGCUCAACCCCGGAACUGCCUUUGAUACUGGUAGUCUUGAGUUCGAUAGAGGUGAGUGGAAUUCCGAGUGUAGAGGUGAAAUUCGUAGAUAUUCGGAGGAACACCAGUGGCGAAGGCGGCUCACUGGCUCGAUACUGACGCUGAGGUGCGAAAGCGUGGGGAGCAAACAGGAUUAGAAACCCCGGUAGUCCC